UACGUAGGGGGCAAGCGUUAUCCGGAUUUACUGGGUGUAAAGGGAGCGUAGACGGCAGAGCAAGUCUGAAGUGAAAGCCCGCGGCCCAACUGCGGGACUGCUUUGGAAACUGCCCGGCUAGAGUGCUGGAGAGGUAAGCGGAAUUCCUAGUGUAGCGGUGAAAUGCGUAGAUAUUAGGAGGAACACCAGUGGCGAAGGCGGCUUACUGGACAAUAACUGACGUUGAGGCUCGAAAGCGUGGGGAGCAAACAGG
rnacentral:rRNA from 1 species